rnacentral:rRNA from 1 species
UACGUAGGGUGCAAGCGUUGUUCGGAAUUACUGGGCGUAAAGCGCACGUAGGCGGACUGUUAAGUCGGGGGUGAAAUCCUGGGGCUCAACCUCAGAAUUGCCUCCGAUACUGGCAGUCUCGAGUGCGGGAGAGGUGAGUGGAAUUCCCAGUGUAGAGGUGAAAUUCGUAGAUAUCGGGGAGGAACACCAGUGGCGAAGGCGGCUCUCGUGGACAGGUACUGGACGCUGAGACGCGAAAGCGUGGGUAGCAAACAGG